rfam:Dufourea novaeangliae contig717, whole genome shotgun sequence.
UCCUGAAUGUACUAAAUGAGUGAAGGUCUAGUGCACAGAUGAUCGAAUUGUGACUAGAUCCACACUCAUUAAGCACGUUUAGGG